rnacentral:lncRNA from 1 species
CUGGACUUGUUUCCCAGCUUCUUCCUCGGACCAGCCAUCAGCAUCAGAAAUAGAGAAAACCAGAGGGGACAACAGUCACGACCGUCAAACACGUUUUGUUGUUGUGGGCGGGGGGAUUUCUUAAAGGGCCAGUGAGGGACGAGGCGGAGAAGUAGGGGGUCUAGGGACCUCAUCUUCUACCUCUAAGUAUUCCAGAAUCAGGUUAAAAGUCAAGGCUGAGGGCAGGUGCGGUGCUGGGAACCGAGAGGAGCGUGGCGGGAAGAGCCCCGGGCCACAGCAUUCAGGGAUGUCCCAGGAAGGGGGGGCCCGGCUGCCUGUGCCAGGCAGGCGGGAGAUGCCAGCCUGCGCCCUCGGCAAGAUUCCUCAAGGAGUUAACUCCCGAACCAUGUGCUGCUGGGGGAAACUCCAAGCCUCCCUCUUCUCGAUUCCGGCCCCCUGCACAACCUCUCUCCUAUCCUUAGCUCUUCCCCGGCGGAUUUUAGGAGUCCCUUCUCCCCUGGGACCCUUCUCUUCCCUUUCCAAGUCCGCUCCUCCCAUUAUCCGGAAGCGAGGGGGGAUGACGCCCCCCCCUUGACCUCUUCCUCCAGGAGCCGGGACCAAAAUAACCGGGCGGGAGGGGACACCUCGCAGGGAAUCUCGGAGGGCUGCCGGGACGAAGAGGCUACAUCUACACAGGGCGGUGUAGGGGAAGCCCGUCUCUUCGACCUCCGUGCCUGGGAGUAGGGGCCGAGAGCCAGAUUAUUGCGAUGACCGGAAUCCCGGCGAGGACGGCCGCGCUCCGGUUCCUUGGUCAAAUUUGUGAAUUUCGCUAACACGAAAAGUUAAACAAGACACAGAGGAGAAACUGCACUUAAGGGUUUCUAACGAAUUACCUUUACUAGCAAGAAUAAAACUGCAAGAAAAU